ensembl:lncRNA
GGACAGGCCAAUGCACUCUACCCCAAAUUCGAAGCUGGUCAGAUGCAAUCCAGCUCCCUUCUGGAAGUUGUAUAGAUGCAUUAGUGCAGCAGAGUGCCCAAACUAAGUACCGCACUGAAAAGCAGGAUAUGUUAACCAGAGCUCAUUGCUGUGUUAACAUGGCUGUGUAGCUACUGGAGCUGAGACCAAAGAAACUAAGGUCUCUCUGAACCGCACAGAUGUAACCAAGGAGGAAUUCACUUAGUGACUGCACAGGCCUGAUCUUUCUUCCCAGCAAGAGAUCUAAAGCAGAGUUGUCCUUUACUGAGCGCAACAUACCUGGAUUUCAGAUCUUCAGGCUGGCCUGAGGAUGUUGGCUGCCGAUGAGACAAAUCCCUAGCAACACACAGAUCAGCACUAUAUUUGUCACUGGGAAUCAAGCAUGGGAAUUUUAGAAUCAGAAGUACAAAAGCUCAGCGCUUGAACAGGAACAGUUCUCUUACAUCGCCAGCUUGAGCCAUCCAAGUUACAGACAGGUUCCCAUAGUCAUGAGCUUGUCUUUAAAUAAAAAUCACACCAUGAGAUAUGAUUUUAAUAACACAUUUGGGUUUGGUUGCAUUUGCUUUCUGGGGUUUUAACCACUGGGGUCCACUUCCAAACACUUUCACAACAGGAAGGCUCAGAGUAUGUUAUGUUAUUUUUCAAAUGAAAGCUGAGGUUCUUAUGCAUUCGUCUUAACUCCAGGAGCUGUGUUUUUUAAGGCACACACCAAAUGUCAAGAGACUCACAAUAAAAUCACAAGAAUUGGCAAGGCUGCCUUCGCUGGCUUUGGGGAACGAGCAGGCCGUUGUUGGAGCCACACAUUAGAGGGAGACAUAUUCACAUCUUCUUAACCAGUGAAUUAUGCACAGAGGUAUAAUGGCAUUCUGCCCAGCUCUGACAUACAGCAACAAGAACAGGAUGCACAAAAUUCCCAGGCCUCUUAAGCUAAUGGGGAAGCUUUGUUAGCCUCCCUAACAAGGGAACCAAUGACAUAACCUGUCAUAAACAUGUUGGGACCAUUAUAUGUACAGACAUGAGAUGUAUUUAAACUAUAAAAACCCAUUUAAUAACCGAAAAGACAGCUGUGUAAUCUGCACAUUACACUCACAAAAAGGAAAUAAAAGUAAAAUGAACUGGAACAUGUGUGCCUGGAGAGAGAGAGGCCUGAAGACCUUACAGAGAAAUUCUUCUAGGACCUGCUUCGGCAGGAAGGCGCUCCGCUCCAUCAUUCUCUUUGGUUCUCUAUAGGAGCCAUAUGUUUACAGCUUUUUUUUUUUUCUUUUUAAUGAAAUGGCCCAUAAACUAACAAUGGGACAUUUUGCUUAAUAGCUAGUAGCUGAAUAUAGCUCAGCAGUUUCCAAGUAAGGGGUAGAAGCCAAGAGCAGGACUUCAUCUUCUCCAUUGACGGGAGUAAACCAAAUGCAUAUGCAUCUCUCUGUUCAGAUUAGGCAACAGGUCAGAUCCCUGGUACCACCACCUGGGAUCAAGACAAAGUCCAAUCAAAUCAUUGCAGUGGUCCUUAUUUUUUCUUGCACCAAAGUGUAAAAACUAAACUGACACAUACAAUACGAUAAGAAAGAGGGAUCUGUUCUUUUUAUCAUCUGUCUCUGCCUUUGGUCUUGUAGAUUUACUUGAAACAUGAAAACAGACAAACUUAUUUAAAUAGUACUAUGCUUACAGUGCAUUUGGGAAGGGGCAAUUUGGGGCAGAGAGGUUUUUAUAAAUCAUAUUACUUAUGUUUUGCCAUCUCUAUGGAAGACGCAUUUAGCUGCAUAAUAACUCACUGAGAUUUUGUCAGGAUCAAUUUACAUUUGUCAGAUGCUCUGCAGUCUUCAGACAAAAACCAUAAAUAAUGGCCGUGCACCAGUAUUUUAUCUUUUCUAAAUGUUAUGAUUUAUAUCUCACAGAAUGGGAAGAAGAGGCAGCAGAGUGAUGUAUUUCUCUCCCAACAAAAAGCCCAAAUCUCCUCAAGAGAGGAACCAGUGUACAAAACUCAAGAAUAUCUACCCCUAAUACCAAAUAGAGAUUGAAAAAAAUAACGUUCUGAGGUGCCUAAAAGUCUGUAUCUAAUUUAUGGGCAAUUUACAAUGGAAAUAGACUAUAAAAAUGUAUACAAAUUUGUAGCCUUGCACAUAGGGGCAGAUAAAUAGUUUAACUACAAAAUAAUGAACAUGAAGCGCCUCUUGUGAGCUGCCAGGUAGACAUUUUGAUUGCCCAGAUUUCAUUAAACUCAAAGCAGAGAGAGCUUGAGUCUACAGUCGAUGACAAUAUAUUUCACCAGAGUUGCCAAAAAGUUGUUUAAUUUUAAGCGAUGCCUGUAUUGCAUUACUUUUUACAAGUUGAGCCAGCAUGUAGGGCACGAUAAGCUCUGCAGAAGAAUAAACCCACUGCCAAUGUUUUCUUUGCAUCCGAAAAAACCGAUUUCACACAGCCAUUCCUUAAAAGAGAAAGACAACAAAAAACAACAAUAAGACCUCUGUCGUGGUCUUCUCUCCUUUCGCCCUCAGACCAGCUUUGCUUUUCCCAACUUUGCCAAUCAGUCUCAAGCGAGCGAAGAGUUACAGAGAACGUCUAUGCUGCCAAAAGCUAUUUCCAGUGGACUUUGAUCAAAUGAUGCUGUAAUCCCUAAUGGGAAGCAUACUUCAUUUAUAAGGUAUUCUUUGGUGUUAUUCCCAAGGAGCAGGCAUACGAGUUUUGAGCAGCAAAGCUCUUUCUCUCCAGAAAGUGCUCCAUUUGAGAGGGGGUAGCACGAGCAUGUUCAGCAUGGGUACUCCGGCCUGCCUAGAUACGUGUGCCUUCAGCGUUAGCCAGUGCGACAGUCAGAAGAUGCAGCAGUGGCCAGAGAUGAAGACCUAGCACUAGAAUUUCUUCAGACACAGCCCUCUACCCAACAACACUGACUAACACCCAGUGGAGCUUUUUGUUGUUAUCAUUUGCAGAGGGCAACGUGUCAACUGGCUGUUCCAAUAUUUGCACUUUGCUGCAGCUUUGCUGAAUUUAAGAAACUUGGGUUAUUCAGAAUUGUAUUUUAUUUCCCCUAAAGUUUUACUUCAAGACCAAGGACAAUUAGCUCACAUUUUUACAAGGAAGCAAUUAAAGAGCAUGAUGUUCAUAAGAAUGAUUUAUUGUGCUAUUAAAUGAGGAUGAAAACCAUCAAAGUUCAUAAUAGCCAAAGAAAAACAAAUAUAAAUUAUCUUCAUGCUCAGUUUGUACCCCGAUGCUUAUCAGCCUGAAAUGCGUGCAUUUCUUCUCCAGUGCUGCUGUGCAGUUUCUGUCAUUGUAUCUCACUGUUUGGAGAACUCAUCAUUUCCAUUCUCUGCUGAAUAGCAGCCUAUUAAAAUGAAAAGUUCUAAGCAGCCUUUAUCUGCUUAAAACUUCCUCCAAAAACAGGCCAAGCUUCCAGAAUAAUGACCUGCAAACCUAGCAAACCUGCAGACAAACCUGCUAGAACCGACUGGGCACAAGGAGAGCCUCUUGCUCCCCACACCUCCUCUUCCUCCACCCGUCCAGUUGUCUACACAUUCCUGAGAAUAUCCACUCUCUUAAGCAUUCAAAUCUUCAUUAUUUUCCAUUUGCCUUCACUUUUUUUUUUUUUUUAAUUAACAAUUCCACUAGUUUCACAUGUAAACCAAAAAGAUUAAGAUGUUCUCACUGAAAUGGCACAUUCAGACUAACACAUUCUGCUCCCAUUUUCCUCUCGAGUAUAUUUAAAAAUAUUGUAAGUAUCUAUUUAUUAAAAGAUGUGAAUAUGUUACUAGCUUUAUAUGAAAAGAAGAAGCAAUGCAAACACACAUCCUAGAACCAGAGGUGAGGACUCUUUUCACCACUGGAUGGGAGGAAAAGAAAAGAAAGUGAACAAAAAAAAAUCUUCUGUACCUUAGAGUUGCUGUUCAUAGAAUCAUGAAGGUUGGAAAGACCACUAAGAUCAUGUAGUCCGACCAUCAACCCAUCCCCACCGCACACACUGACCAUGCCACUGUUAUUGAAAGAACAACAUAGCAACUCCUUCAUAGGAUUCCUGUCUGCAAAAUGCUUGAGCAUUUUCUAUAAAGAAAAACUGUCCUGUAAGUCAGUCAAGAUUUUCCAAUCAAGGUUUUCCUUUCACAUCAAUAUAUAAAACCCCUCUCAGCAGCCUUCUGCUCUUCACAAGCACCUUUUAGGAAAAUCCUUCCUGCACCCCACUGCCAGCCCCUCAUAUUUUGGUGGCAAGCAACCUUCAACGUCUGGCCAAAGCUGCAUCCCUGCAGGUGAUCCAUGUGCACGAAGUGUAGGGAUCGUGCCAUGCUCUCAGAGAUUGCAAGCCCUUCUUAGUGUUACAAGGUGAUGAGAAGAUCCACCUGACAGAGAAUUGCAAAUGGAGCCUCCUGUGCAGAGAAAUCAUCAGGAAAAAUCUACCCAUGAAGUUCAGACAACCUGCACUCCUGUCCAGGACCUAAAUUUGAAGCACGUGGGAAAGCAGGUCUCAGAAAAUGAGUGCUAUGUUUAUUAAUUACUGGAAAGAUUCCUUAUUUAGAUGCCCGAAUUUCAUUGUGGUGACGGAGUUCAUUAUAUGUUUAAAUUAAAGGAAUUGUUCGUCUACUGAACUACAUCUUAAAGUGAUUUGCGGAAUUGGAGCCUGUGAUUUAAAGCCCUACUAAAUCUCUAUUACCCUGGAUACUGCUCCUCUUGCUGCAACUUGGUAAACAUUUAUUUAUUAAAAACCUGAACUUUACAAUUUAAAAGUAAUUUUUAUAGAUGACUUAAAAAGCCUAUUUUGUGGCUUGGAAAGCAUCGUGCAUUAUCACAUCAACGCAGAGAAAGCUAAUAAGAUGAAAAGUACAUCUGUUUUCUAGAAAAUAAAAUGUAAAAAAAAAAAGUUUCAAUUUCCCAUUUCCUCAGCAAAUGAUCCUUAUUUAUUUGAAAAAGGAGAGCAUUAAAUGUUCUGCCCCUGCGAUGAGUUUUAAAUAGAUAUUUUCAAUGAAUUACCCUGAUUGAGCUGCCUGUCGAGACAAUGGUAUGAACUGCUCCUUCAGUCUCCAUUUACAAACGAAUUCCAACAGCUUCGGUAAGGACUCGGACAAAAGUUAAAGGAAUCUGAUGUGAAUCAACAAUGAGAUGAGUGCUCAGAUCUGCUCUAACAGACGGGCUGUGCCGCGGCUGAACAGACACACGUUUCAGUUUCUUUUCUGCUUUAAUUUCCCCAUUUUAACUCUUUUUCAAUUAGGAGUGCACGAGUGGCGCUCUCAAAAGAGUGCUGUGAAAUAGAUAAUGAAACGUUUCCAGAACCUCGAGUUCUGCAUACUAAAAACACGCAGUCAAGGAACUGAAUUCUGUACACAGACGGUGUGCUCAAAUGCUGAAAUGCCUGAAAAAUCAGGGCUGCAAAAAAGGGAAUUUUUCAAUAGUGUGGAAUGGACUCAAAAGGCAAAAUAGUCAUGAAGGAACCUCAGUCCUAAGGGGUAAACGUGAUUCUUUCCAGCUUUUUACUACUCUGCUAUAAAAAUAAAGUAAAAUAAAAUUAAAACACUGAUUUUGUUAAAUAAAGUGUAAACUUCAGCUCAAUUUUUAACUGACUUACGGGCUGUACUGAUCUCCAUUUUAUUUUGCUUACAGUCAGAAGAAUUCAGGUGUCCUAACACCUUUACGCAGCACCUGCUAAUGCUGCUUUACCUACUCAAUUACUCCACAGCCAUUUCAGAAGAGCAAGGAGGGCGAGCAGCUGGCUGUAAGUCUGCAGGAUUCACGUUGCAGAACGGCUCGAAGCCCCGAGAAAUGCUGACAUUCUUCACCACGCUGUUUUGCUCUGUUUUAAAUAUCGGUGUAUUUAUUAAAGCUGCUCGGAAAAUUUAAUCAUAUAAAAUAUUUUUGUUUUUCAUCAGAUUUGAAUUCUUUCCAGGUUUUUCAGGACUCUUAUUUUUCUACACGUCUCAGAAAAUCUGUAUUAAAUGAGGUAGGAUUUAUUCCAAGUUACCCAGAGCAUAUCUUCAAAGAAAUAUGUUAUGCAUAUAUCUUUUACAAUAACUUAUGUAAAUAGCUAUUAAUACAGAAUAGCUGGGAAAAGAUUACUUGAACAAACGUUAAUGCCUUUUAAAAUGCUGCGUGAGAGAGAUUUCAACGAACGUAGCGAAUAUCUUGAGCUGUAGUUCAUGCAGCAUUUCGUAUGCAUCAGAUUUAACUCUUGAGGCAUUUUCUCUUAUGUUGUUGUGGAUACACUCUAUCUGUUAUUUUCCAUAGCUAGAAAUUCCUGAAGGGCAAGCGUUUUGCCUUUUUAACUUGCUGCGUGAUACAUGAUUCUCCGCUGACAAUAAUCUGGUUUGUACGUGUAGUGCAAAAUCAUCUGCGUGGAGAAUGUGGAUGCUCAGACUCUGAUCUCACAGCUCUGGGCACAGAGGACAGACGGCUGCAGUCACCCAUGGCCCUGCUCGAGCCCGUGGCUCUGGUUCAAGGAGCUGCAGCAGGACCGGGACCCCGAACAACCAGCUCAAGUCAAGGGAAGUUUGGGGUGCAAAGGUUUUGCUGAUGACCACAUAGACUGCUCUUUGUCUUUAAGACCUGGUGCUGUCCCCUUCUGCGUGGGCUUCAGAGACUCAGCUAGGCAGCAUGGAUCCAGGCAUAGAAGUACCACAGGAAAAGUGGCACAGCUGGGUCAUAGAUUUUGCCAAGGAUGCUUAUUAUGAGAGUGUUUAUGUAAUUAGAGACUGGUAGACAUAUGCUUCAUUAUUUUUUUAUACUCCCUGAAUAGAUUUCCAUCGGUUUUCUUGGUGGUAACCCAAGGUAAAGCCUGGUCAAGGCACUGAAUGCAAGCACACAUCUAGCAGGGUCUGUUGUGACAGGACAAGGGGAAAUGGUUUCAAACUAAAAGAGGGGAGAUUUAGAUUGGAUAUAAGGAAGAAGUUUUUUACAAUAGGGGUGGUGAAGCACAGGCACAGGUUGCCCAGAUCUGUGGUGGAUGCCCCAUCUCUGGAGACAAUCAAGGUCAGGCUGGAUGGGGCUCUGAGCACUGAUGGAGCUGCAGGUGUCCCUGCUCAUUGCAUGGGGCUUGGAUAUUCGACGGUUAAGGGUCCUGCCAAUUCAAACAAUUCUGUGAUGAUUCUAUAAGUUGAAACACACAAGCAGUCCUCCUGGAGCCAAUGAUCUUGUUAAGGUGGGAUUAUUUGGCACCUGUGCCAAUGAGGAUACUGGAGCAAAACAUCAAAAUUGUGAAGAUCAAAGGCUUUAAAAGGAGCAAGGCAGCAGACUGCAGCAGUUUGACUCCUCUAGGUAAGAGGGGUAAUUACCACUUGAAACUGUUCAUGCUAACCACAGAGCUGCUAUCUUUCAGUGCCUGAAGCUGCUCGUAUUCCCCAGGUAGGGUGCACUCUGACCUGAUGCAGCUUCAAGCGGGCUCACUCUAAUUGAGAGAAUCUUCUCAAACAUCUCUAAAACCUGAGAAAUGUUGCUUUAAGAAUGAUUUUAAGGCUGAUUGUAGGAGCUAAAAGGUCAAAUUGUGCAAGAGCAAAGAAAAACAAACUUAACAAUAGCCCAACACCAGAGGUGCAAGGAAACAAUGAUUGUUGAGGUCUCAAAAUCUGGCCAACACAGCUGAAACAGUUUUGAUGCAGAUUUUGGACUAAAUAUGAUACUAAGUGCAAGUGAGGGCAAAGUGCUAAUCCCAGCCUAAGGCAGAGCUGUUUAGUUUAACUGGUUCCACAUCCAUUUUUCCCAGAUUUUGCCAUAUCGCCAAUUUCUAGGGUAGAUUAUCCCUAGGCUCACUCUAGCUUUUAAUUUCUGGUGCUUUACAAUUACUGUACACUGAAUCGUUCCCCCGACAUGUAUUUAUUGCUAUCUUUUCUUCAUAUGUGUCACUUUUGGCCUUUCAGCAGCAAAAUCAUCUGGGCCACAACAAAAACAGGAAGCACACUGCUGACAGAUUGCUAUUUUCAUCUGUGAUUUAGCAUCAGUCCUGCCGAGACUCUCUGAACUAUUCCACAUUGCUCAGGAGUCCAAAUCAAUUCAUUAGGCAAUCCUGCCUCCCUCCACAGCAGGCAUCCUCCUUGCUCAGGGCAACAGGAGAACGUGCUUAAUUAUGCCUAGGGGGAUAGAUUUAAGGACAUACUGAAGUGUUUCUGUUACUCACAGCCUGAGGAAAACAGCUCUGCUGAAGAAACAUGGGUCUGCCUACUGAUUCGGCCAGACUGAAAUUGGUGAUGAAAAUUAAGGCCAAAUUGAGUCAGUACAGGAAUCGACUGUGGCAGAAGAAUAUAGGGAGAGUUUGCAAGUCAAAGAGGUGAUCUAAACUACAUUGUACAUCCUGGAGACAGGAUGAGGUAAAGCCAUGGAGCUAAAGAAAAGCAGGAUUAAUACAGAAUGUAAAGGCAAGGAUGCACUUUGGGAUGGAAGUAGGCAGAGCAGAUGCAGGUUGGUAAGAAAGUCCAAGUCAAGGAAAGCAUGAUCGGAGUUGAGAAUCAUAGAAGCAAAGAACCAUUAAGGUUGGAAAGACCACUAAGAUCACCUAGUCCAACCAUCAGCCCAUGCCUAUGACUACUCAAGACCACAUUACUCAGUGCCACCUCUAUCCAUUCUCAAACACCUCCAGGGAUGAUGACUCCCACACCUCCCUGGCCAGGCUGCGCCCAUGCAUCACCACUCCUUCUGAGAAGUUUUUCCUAAUAUCCAGUCUGAACCUCCCCUGUCUUAAUUUAAGGCCAUUACCUCUUGUCCUGUCAAGGAUGAAGAUUGUGGUCCAGGUAUGAGUAAGGCUAGGGGCAAAGCACAGAUAUAUAUUUACACAGAAAUGUAUCUAGACUAGUAAAUUUGAGCUUUCUUUUGUUGUACCCAUACCACUAAGCUCUCACUUCAGAUCUCCUGCCUGACUGUACUAACAGACAGUGUCUGUGAAAUUUAAAGAGUCAGAUUUGUCCAGGGCAGAACUGUACAAGUGACCUGGUCCCAUGCACUGGCACAGUUUAAAGUACCAACACAGAUGUACACAGAGUGUGUUCAACCAACCACCCAUUUAAUAACCGUUUGCUGUGUUGCCAGGUCGAUAACAAGCAGGGUACAUUACCCAUGUACACAGAAGAUAAUGCCAAUUAGGCAGUAGCUUGUCACAACUUCAGAUACUCAUUUACACUAAUAAGAGAACAGAGUUAAUAUCAUAUCACAGAGAAUUUCACUUUGCAGCCUUAAUAUUCUAAUAUAGAAAGUUUCAUACCACGUUAAAAUUACCUUGUGAAGGUACAACAGGGACAAGGUGCAUCAGGGACAUGUUUGUCACUCUUUUGGUAUUGAAUGUGAGUGGGGACUAUGAAGGAGGAAGGGUAUCAAGGGACUAAUCCCAUUUCAAGGCUACAAACAUCCUUUUCCAGCAAGUACAGUUUCCUAACCCCAAGUCUGAGGAAGGAAACUCAGCUUGACAAGUGUUUCUCAUCAGGCCAUCGGGGUGUUUGUUAAGCGACAAAACCAAACAAUCCCUUUCCAUGGAAGAUUGUGUUGAAAAGUGACUUUCUUUUUAGAAACUGGCCCAAGUCUCUCUCAGUCAUGUCUGUUUUCUAUGUGUGAUCAUUGCAGGGGAGGGAGGGGAGUCAAAGUGAUUCAGUGCUUGGAGCUACAUCCAAGACUCUGCGCAGCUUGGAUCGCCAUCAUGUUGAAAAGCAGGAGGAUGACAGGAGACUCUGCUAGCAGAAUGCCUCGGACUGUUUGCCCUUGCACUUGAUCCACUUUAUGCUUCCUCUCAUGCCAACACUAGCAGCAACCAGCAGCUUUGAAACACUGGAGGUUCUGUGUAGCUCUCUCAUACUACUUUGCUUCAAUUUUUCCUUUCGGUGUUGGCUUUUUUCUCUCCUUUGUGAUAUAUGUGGUGGUUACAAAAGGUGUGCCUGUGAAAACAAUAAUGAUGAAAGAUUCAGAUCAGUUCACUGGGGAAAUACAGGAGGAAUUAUACUGUAGGUAUCCAGCAAUUGUAGUGUCGCGGAAUGAAUGGAGUUGAAUGGCACCUCUGGAAGUCGUCUGGUCAGAAUUCAGGCUCAGAGCUUCAAAGUUAAACCAGGUUGCCCAGGGCUUUUGUUCAGUCAUGUUUUGAAAAUCUUCAGAGAUAGAAACUAUACAGCCUUUCUGUGCAGGGCAAUUAUGCUGGUAGUUAACCACUGGUUAUGAUUUUUUUUCCAUAUAUUCAGUCAUCAUUUCACUUGCUACAUAUAGUGACUAUUGUCUCCUGUCCUCUUUCUACAAACACCUGAGAAAAGCCUGCUUCUCCCCCCUCUGCAACCCUCCUUUCAGCCCUGCAGCUGGACACAACAGUCAACCCUCCUUUUAGCCCCUGUUCUCUAAGUUGAGCAAACCUAUCUCUCUUAGCCUCAUGCUGUAGGCUAGUACACUGUACAGCCAGUGUCCUUGGCUGAACACAUGUGGGUUUGUUGAGCUUCCUGAGGUUCCUGUAUGCUCAUUUCUUUGCCCAAAGAAGUUGUAGAUGUCCCAUCCUUGGGGGCAUUCAAGGCCACGUUGGACAGGGCCCUACUGGUUGGCAACCCUGCCCGCAGGAGGGGGUUGGAAGUAGAUGAUGUUUAAGGUCUCUUCCAAGCUAUUCAAUGAUCUUUCAGCUUGUCACGUCUCUCAGCAUAGCAGCCAAGGCUUCAGAGCACUCACUGCCCCUCUCAGUUGGUUAUCAUCUACAGGUCACUGAGAUGCCUGCCAUCCCAUCACCCAGCACAGUGAUGAAGGUGUUGAUCGACUCCAGCACCAAGAGCCAAAGAAUACCACUCAACACUGACCAUCAGCCACAUUUCCACUCAUUAGCAUUCACUCUUGAGCACAUCUGUCCAGUUUUCCAACCACUUUGUAUUCCAUGUUUUGCCAACCUGGCUACAUCUAUGUUACCUCUCUUGACAUUAAUGACUUACCUCAUCAGUGCCACUCUGUGGUAGAGGAAGCAGUUGUAAAAGUUGGAUCUCAGAGAUCAGAGGCAGGAGAGCUGGAUUGCUUCCCAGCCUCAGCUGUGCAACCUGUGGUAAGUUACCCAAGCCACAGAGACCAGAUGCAACAUGAUCUUUAUAUGUCAGCUUAGUCCAAAGAUUAUAGAUGCAGCUGCAUCUGGCACAGCCCCCUGCAUGUGGGACAGCUGAACUAACACCACUGCCAGCUACAGGAGCCCAUGCCCAGAACUAAAAAACAAAAGAAAAAGUCCCACUCCAGGACCCAACACAUAGAAUACUGUCUUAGUCUCAAGCUUGCAUCUCCAUCUCUACAAAAUGACGAUAAGAUGACCUAGGUGUAUACGCUGCAAGAGUAGCAGUGGUGGGUUCAGCAUUGAAUGUGAAUAAGAAUAAAAUAACACAAUCAGCUUUAAAGGGUUUAGUGACAUACAAAAUCCACGAGCAAGGUGCUUUCUGGAUGUCCUAGGAGCAUGCCACUGAAUGAUAGAGCAUGGAGGGUGCUGUUCUUGCUAUUGUCUUCCCAACCUGCAUUAUAUUGGAUCAGCAGGAAUGUGUGCCCAGUGUCAAGAGAUGCACAGUACCUAACUAAUUAUAGAUAGUUCUAUGAAAUGUCACAGGGGCUACACAAGGAUCCAACUGAUAAAAGCAGAGGUAGAUUCUGAAAUCGGCUACAGAAGGGACAGCCAAAAGACUCCCAGCAAAGCAACAUUAACAAGUCUUGAUAUUGGCUCAGGCAGAAUUCUUUAUCCCAUUGGCACAAGUGCCUGAAAGGGGCUUUCUUCCCACAUGCAUACGUUCAGGAAUAUCAUUGUCGUCGUGUCACAUUAGGAUCUGGGGAAGGGGCACAUUCCUUUGUGCAUAGCUUGCUACUGGGGAUCCCUCUGGCAUUUGUUUUCCUUAUGCAGUUGUAGCACAGGGGAACGUCCUGGCAGAGGGUCUCUGACCCCAGCACUGCUCUGGGUGCCCCAGGUUAGAUCUGGGUUAUAAAGGGUGAUCAUCCAUCAGAACAUGCACAGAAUCAGCUGGUUCAAAAGGAGGAAAAGGGAGACACCUAAUGGGAACAGGCAAAAAAAGCACCUACACCAGAAGUGCACUAAGGGACAGGAAAGCUCAGAUGAAAAGCAGAGACCUGCAGGUUUCCCUCCAGUGGGUCAGGGGGAUGACACUGCACCUUGGGCAGCUUCUUGCAAGACAGGUAGAAAGAGAUGAGUAUGAGAGGUCUCCCAUGAAACACAGAGGAAGACCCAAUUGCUCCAGUGUGGCACUGAAUUUUCACUCACUAAUUUCCACCAUUAGGAAAGCUGCAUAAACUGCCAACAAUUCGAGACAGUGAAUCCAUAGAUCAUCUCCUGUCAGACCUCCACUCACCAGGAGACAGCCCGGUGAAUUACAGCUCUUCUGAAGCAACUCUUUAAGCACUACCUGCUAAUCCAUCACAACCAUGUUGGGGAGAAAGCACUGUCCCCAUUGGACAGAUGAAAGAACUGAGGUUGCCCCUCAGUCCUCAUCCACCUGAGGAGAUUCAGGAGGUUGCGGCUCAUCAAACAGACAGAGACAGCACUCGCCCUGCCAGCAGCAAAAUGAUCAUAGAAUCAUAGAGUCAUUAAGGUUGGGAAAAGACCUCCAAGAUCAUCUAGUCCAACCAUCCACAUACCUCCAACAUUGCCCACUAAUCUACGUCCCUCAGUACUAGAACUACCGUUUCCUUAAACACCUCCCGGAAUGGUGACCCCAUCACCUCUUUGGGCAGCCUGUGCCAAUGCCUUAUCAGUCUUUCUAAGAAGAAAUUUUUCCUAACAUCCAACCUGAACCUCCCCUGAUGAAACUCAAGGUCAUUCCCUCCAGUCUUAUCGCUGUCAUCUGUGAGAAGAGGCUGACCCCCACAUUACCACAACCUCCUUUCAGAGAGUUGUGGAGAGCAAUAAGGUCUUCUCCGAGCCUUCUCUUCUCCAUACUGAACAGUCCCGGUUCCUUCAGCCGUUCCCCAUCAGACUUGUGUUCCAGACCCUGCACAGCUUUGUUGCCCUUCUCUAGACACACUCCAGGGCCUCCAUGUCUUUCUUGCACUGCAGUGAUGAGAACAAUAAACACGUGGCUCAGGGUGGUGGAUUCCCUCCGCAGCCGAAGAGACAAGUGUGAAGAUCCUGCAAGAGAGGAAAGCAGCCAUGCAAAUCACGAGGCGAAAUCAGGAAGAAACCUCACAGAUCACUGUUAAUGACAGCUGCUCAGCAAGGAGCAAAGUGCUUCAUCCUGGUCAUGGGCCGAAGCCCACAGUUGUCCAUGCUGGCCGUCAUCUUAGACAGAUGUACAGUGUUAGCUUGCCAGGGAUUUCAGGCUUUUGUAGUCUUAACCGUGUUGCGGUAACUUGAGAUAGGAAAUAAAAAGCAACUCCUUGCCAGCAUUCCUGGAUGAGCUUCAGGGUGAGAGCUGUCUGCUCCUCUCUGGCCAAGCCGUGCCUAGAACAGUGCGACUCUCAGGAAGCACAUGAGUGUUUUGUGGUAAAAAUGUGACUCAGCAAGUUCUGAACUCAGCUGGAUCCUGGAGAUAGCCAGUGGUGACUGACACAGAGGAGAAAUACAACCAACAGGCUUGAUGAUAGCUGGCCUCCAUAGGACGUGGCUUCCCCAGCCCCGUGAGCUGCAGCAGGAGCAGGUGUGGGUAGGAAGAGUGCAGACUGCUGAGUGCUCCUUGGGAGGAGGAUGACAGGCUCCAGCCUUAGGCUGCCAGCUCCUUCACAUCGAGACCUUACAGCCAGCUCCAAAGACAGCCACCGUGCCGGCAUCACAGGCGCUGUAAGAACAUGCACGGGGUGCUCCACCUCCUCCACCUGCACAAAAAGUCACAGGCCUUCACUGGAAAACAGUCCCAUGCAAUCAAAUACCAGAGAGAGGUGGGGGAAAAGUCAGACAACUUAAAUAGAUGGACCGGAUUCCAGCAGUCUCUGAAGGUCACUCCAUUCAGGGUCUGCUGGAGGGAAGGUGGAGCAGAGCCAUUCCCCCAGGGAGGGUGCCAGCUACUUGCCUCUUGUCGAUUAAUCCUGGGGAGCAGAGGCCGUGGAGAACACCCCGCCAAUUGUAAAUGUGGUGAUGGGGCAUUGGGGGCAUAUAUAUGCAUCAUUAGUCAUCCGCAAGAAUUUUGUUUUUGUAACCUCUGCAUUUUUAUCUGUCACUUCUAGCAAUAAAUAUGCACUCCCGCCAGUGAUUUGACAUUACACUUGCUUUGGAUGGUUGCCUUUCCCAAAUAUUAAUAGUAACUCAUUGUGGACACAGCAUUGGUAUUUAGUUAGAUCAGACCAGCUUCUUUUAAAAAACAACUUUUCGUAUAAAGAGAAC